rnacentral:rRNA from 1 species
UACGUAGGGUGCAAGCGUUAAUCGGAAUUACUGGGCGUAAAGCGUGCGCAGGCGGUUUUGUAAGUCUGUCGUGAAAUCCCCGGGCUCAACCUGGGAAUGGCGAUGAAGACUGCAAGGCUAGAAUCUGGCAGAGGGGGGGUAGAAUUCCACGUGUAGCAGUGAAAUGCGUAGAGAUGUGGAGGAACACCGAUGGCGAAGGCAGCCCCCUGGGUCAAGAUUGACGCUCAUGCACGAAAGGCGUGGGGAGCAAACAGG